UUAAGAUACUAAGGGCAUACGGCGGAUGCCUUGGCGAUAUCUGCCGAAGAAGGACGCGACAAGCUGCGAAAAGCUGCGGAGAGGCGCAAAUAGCCAUUGAACCGCAGAUAUCCGAAUGGAGAAAUCCGGCAGGGCUCAUCCCCUGUCAUCCAUGUCUUAGAGCAUGAGAAGGUAAGCCGGUGAACUGAAACAUCUAAGUAGCCGGAGGAGAAGAAAUCAAACGAGAUACCCCAAGUAGCGGCGAGCGAACGGGGCAGAAGCCCAAACCGGAGAAGGAAACUUCACCGGGGUUGAGGACCGUCAGAGCUUAAGAAGAAGUUAGCCGAAACGCCUGGGAAGGCGUGCCGAAGACAGUGAGAGCCUGGUAGGCGAAAACGGAGACUUAAGAGACGGAAUCCAGAGUACCGCGGGACACGAGAAACCCCGUGGGAAGCAGGGGGGACCACCCUCCAAGGCAAAACACAGAUAUCGACCGAUAGCGCAUAGUACCAUGAGGGAAAGGUGAAAAGCACCCCGGGAGGGGAAUGAAACAGAACCUGAAACCGUAUGUUUACAAGCAGUCGGAGACCGUAUAUAUACCAGGUCGACGGCGUGCCUAUUGAAGAAUGAACCAGCGAGUUACGAGGACCGGCAAGGUUAAGCAGGAAAUGCGGAGCCGAAGCGAAAGCGAGUCUUAAUGGGGCGAGAGUCGGAAUGCGUAGACCCGAAACCACAGUGAUCUACCCAUGUCCAGGCUGAAACACAGGUAAAAAUGUGCGGAGGGCCGAACCUAUAUCUGUUGAAAAAGGUUAGGAUGAGGUGUGGGUAGGGGUGAAAUUCCAAUCGAACGUGGAGAUAGCUGGUUCUCCCCGAAAUAGCUUUAGGGCUAGCCUCAGGUGGUGAUUACAGGCGGUAGAGCACUGAUCAGGAGAGGGACCUACCCGGUUACCAAACCCAGUCAAACUCCGAAUGGCUGUAAUCAAACCUGGGAGUCAGACUACGACUUAUAAGGGCCGUGGUCAAGAGGGAAACAGCCCAGAUCAUCAGCUAAGGUCCCAAAUGCCGUGCUAAGUGGCGAAGGAUGUGGCGUUUCAUAAACAACCAGGAUGUUGGCUCAGAAGCAGCCACCAUUCAAAGAGUGCGUAAUAGCUCACUGGUCGAGAGACGCUGCGCCGAAGAUGUCCGGGGCUCAAGCACGGAACCGAAGCUAUGGCAGAUUGCUUGCAAUCUGGGUAGGGGAGCGUUCUUAUCACGGAGAAGCGGUACCGUAAGGAGCCGUGGAGAGGUAAGAAGUGAGAAUGCUGGUAUGAGUAUCGAAGAGGCUGGUGAGAAUCCAGCCCACCGAAAGCCCGAGGGUUCCUGAGCAACGAUCGUCGUCUCAGGGUAAGUCGGGACCUAAGCCGAGGCAAAGACGCAUAGGCGAUGGAGAACAGGUUGAAAUUCCUGUACCGGAGCAGUCCGUCUGAGUGAAGGAGUGACGCAGCAGGGCACACGAGCAUGCGGUUGGAAGAGCAUGUCUAAGCCCGUAGCCCGUAUGGCAGGGAAAUCCGCCAUGCAGAAGGGUGAGAGGUGAUGGGGAGUUAAAGGCAACUUUGACGAACUCGUGAAUCCCACACUGCCAAGAAAAGCUUCUAGCAAGGACUGAUCCGCCCGUACCGUAAACCGACACAGGUAGGCGGGGAGAGAAUCCUAAGGUGCGCGGGAAAACCCUCGUUAAGGAACUCGGCAAAUUGCAUCCGUAACUUCGGAAGAAGGAUGGCCCUGAGUAGGCGAAGAGUCAAGCACUUGGAACCGGAAAGGGCGGCAGAAAAGAGGCCCAAGCAACUGUUUACCAAAAACACAGGUGCCUGCGAAAGCGAAAGCUGAAGUAUAGGUGCUGACGCCUGCCCGGUGCUGGAAGGUUAAGGGGAGAGGUUAGCGCAAGCGAAGCUUUGAACUGAAGCCCCAGUGAACGGCGGCCGUAACUAUAACGGUCCUAAGGUAGCGAAAUUCCUUGUCGGGUAAGUUCCGACCCGCAUGAAAGGCGUAAUGAUUUGGGCACUGUCUCAACGAGGGGCCCGGUGAAAUUGAAAUA
rnacentral:rRNA from 1 species